UGAGCCCUUUUUUCUGUUUUUUUGGGGGGGAGCUCUGGCUAAAGCAAGCUUUCUAUCUUUAUGUCUGAAUUUUAAUGGGGUAGGGUAAAGAUAUAUUUUUCAAAUAUCUGUGCUGAAAAGCACACUGAACAAUUGCUUCUUCUCUACCCUGGGUCCAGGGAUCCAGGGUUGUAACUCUCCUUGCUGACACUGACUGACGUUGUUUAUCUGAAACAUGAACGUGUGACGUCAGCAGGAGGAGCAACAAGCUGCAGGAUAAGGGCCCUCAUUUGGCAGUGUUGUUAACUCUUGGGAUUUCAUCCUGAGUCUUGCAAUAUUUCAUGGUCUUCUUCAACCCCCAGCUCCCAGAAGCACACUUGAAAAGGAAAAGUGAUUCCUUACCAGGCCAUGUCUUUGUCCACAUGCCCACACAGGAAGUGUGCAAGAUCAAGAGCUAGAAGAGCCGCUAACCUGGGCUUCAACAUCCUGCCACCGGCUGAUGAGAAUCUUUCUCCUGUAGCAGGCCCCUCUUGCUUCGGAAAGCCUGAACUCUCCUUCCCAAUAUCAAUGGCAACAUGAUUCCUGUUGUCCAAAGAAAGAAAUGCAGCAAGCAGAAACUGUUUCACACUUGAGGAGCAGAGAACCUGACAUUCAUCCCAAGCUAGUUGGUCUGUUAUCGUUUGGAGUGUCAGCCGUGCAAGGAUGUUCUGCGUGGAGCGAUGCUGAGGGUGAGAAGUUGUUAGGUUCCAAAACAUGCUGCACUCCAUAUUUUCUGAGGAUACCUGGGAGGGUCAGUGGCGAACAGGAGUUGGGGAACCAAAACUCUACCAAACUCUGGUUCUUAAUUAUGUCAAUGGCCAUUCAAGCUGAGGAAGAAGAGUAUCACGGACAUGUUAGAAAGCUGACUGCACUCGUGCCAGCCAGCGGGUCAGCAGGCCAGACCCAUUUCACAGCUCCCCUCACUCUGGACAGGGUUGGUGGUGGGAAGAGACCUCUGUUUCCCAUUUCAGGUGGGCCUCUAGCUGGACUCUCGGUGGCCUGCAGGGGGAAGUGUUGCCAGUUGGCCUAACAGCAGAGCUGGCUGGGAAGUCAUGCUAAGCUUUUCUCAGCUGGAACAGGCUCCGACAACCAACACACUGCACCAUAGGACUGCUCCAGAAAUCGCAUGUGACGGAGCAGAAGGCCUAUAAACCAUGGAAGGUGUGAAACAGGGCUUCUCAUAACAAUUCUUUAUAUACUGUGGGUGUCUUGCUUUCCGUGUUCUGUUUCUUUUAAAACAUGAAUGUAUACCCUCCCUUCCUGCACUCCCCACUCCCCCCACAACCACCAGCCCACCAAGUCCCUUCCCUAGUCUGCAGACAUUCAUGCGGCACUCUCUCUCUCACUGCCCAGAUUGGCUCGGAGAGCUGGAUUUGUAUCAGGGUGCUUUGCAGAGUUGCCAACUGGCAGACCUACCAUGUGUUUGGUAGGCAAGAGCCAAAUUAUGCUCUGAUACACCAGCAUAAAUCCGGAGUCACACGGCUGCCUUCAGUGGAGUCCUUCCAGACCCUCACCUACCAGGUGUAAUGGGAUCUGGCCCUUGUUUUUCAUCUCAGCUUCUUGUUGAGGCUUGGCAAGUCGGGAGGGAGAUCAAGGUAGCAGGGCAGGAGGGAGGUGCAUUGAAAUCAAUCCCAGUGUUUAGUGGUUAGCAGUCAGGUUGUCCACGUUUUCUCAUCACCUCCACGAAAAAGAGGACGAAACCAGUUUGGAAUCACCUCUGAUUCUGCAGGACAGGAGAGGUCUUUUCUUUCAGGAGCCAGUGACUAAAGAGUUAAAGCUUGUUGUGUGUUGUUUUUUUUUCCUUCGCGUCAAGAUAAUAAAAAGCCAUUUUUUCAACUAAUUUACCAUCUCCC